UUUUUUUAAGAGGCCAAAAACCAUGCAGGGGUCAUCUUUAAUACUGAGGUUGACCUGUUUUGGGUUAAGGAAGAGGUGCCCUCCUUUCCUGGUAGGCCCUAAGGGUAUGUAAGACCCUUUGUUCCUCAAAGACCAGAGGACCAGAGAUUGUCCAUUAUCAAACAAGUGUAGGGCUCUGGAGGUCACCUCCCAGUUCUGUGCCUCCUGGGCGUUGAUGGCUUAGUGUGUCCAGGAUGCCAUCGGGUCCAUGUCCAUUAAAACAGGGUCUUGUCACCAACUUCAACAUGCCUUUCUUCUGUGAACAGACUCCCAAGUCAGGCUCCUAGAUUUGUCCAUUCAGCAGGAUGGCCCCUGGUCCACCUCCCCCAACAUAAGAGGCUCAAUCAAGUCUGAGGUGCCAAAGAUGCUCCAAGAGAUUUGGAGAACACAAGUAUCCUAGGGUUUCUGUCACCAGCCUGCAGGGAAACAGGGAUAUCAGGAUGCCAGGCAAGGUAAGAACUCCUCAACUGAAGCCCCCACCAGCUCAUGUGAGCAGUAGAUACAAGAGAAGGGAGCACAGGGACCCCGAGGCCUGAGGUGCUUCCUCACAGAAGAGCGCAGGUCACACGGGCUGGGUCAGCAUGAGAACAGCACCAGGAGUAGUGGGAUGCGGCCAACGUGGGGUCCACAGCGGCCUGAAGCUGCGCCUGGCUGGCCGAGUGUCCACUUAGUCCAGGAGCAGAAGGUGCAUCCAGACCAAACUGCAAAGGGGCACAAUUUGGCUCCCUGACGUCAGCUCCCGUGUAAGCUGCUGCUCCAGCCAUCGGCAACUGCACUGGCCCGUCCAGCCCUUCAGGCCUCCUGGGAGCCCUCAGGGUUGACUCGCAGCCAAAGGCUCUGUGGGACAGUCCUCGGAGAAUCCCUAUGAGUCUCUGGAGGUUACGAAGCGGCCACCAGCUCUGCCUGCCUGGAUCUGGCCUUGGCAGGGGCUUCUGGGCUUGUGUCAGGCAGGGACUCUGAAGGAACCUCUGGUAACUCGAUUUGUUCCUGAGUGAUUGCAUUCAGCUCUUCCAGGAUGGCAUCCUCGUCCUCCUGGGUGAAACUUCCUGCCAGCAGCUCAUCAAUUUGCCGCUGGUACUCCACGGCCUCCUGGGUCUCGUCCAGGAUCCUCUCCACCUCCUCUAUGGACAUCACCUGGUGCAUCUUAUUCAGACAUUCGUUCCCCACCUGAAGCCCCUCCAUCACCUUCAUCUCGAUCUGCAUGAACUCAAUGCUCUGAACCAUGGCUUCCAGGCUGCUGAUCUGGUUUUCUGUCCUAUCGAGCAGUUGCUCCCGGUACCUCUUCUUCUUGAGUAGCAGCUUGGCCUGUUCUUUCCUGCCAUCCCGAAGCAGCUGCCUGGCCAAACCCCUUCCCUCUCCAGCUGCUGCGUGACCCUCUUCUGGUACUGCCUCAGCUUGUCUCUCUGCUGCUUCAGUUGCAGGAUGGCCCUGUCCUGUUCGGUGACCCGGCUCUGCUUCUUGCGACCGACCGAACAGGUUGCCCAUGGCGGACCCGCACCGGCCG
ensembl:lncRNA